CCUGUUUUGUCAUAACCACAGCUCAGAGUAAAGCAGCUCCACAGAACAGCUCCCUCGGCAGCCAGGCUGGCAUGGCAAGGCCACACGUAUUGGUCCUAUGAGAGUCGGAGAAAGGUCGUCAGAGCGCGUUCCUUUCCUAUUUUACAAAUGAGGAAGCCGAGGCUUCUUGAAGCCAGUUAGCUUACCAAGGUCACACAGGUCAUAAGUGGAGAGUCUGAACUCACCCCCAGACAGGCCCGUUCCCAACCGCUGGAGACACCUGACCCAGAGCCCCCGUUCACCUGAGCCUCCCCUGGCCUGGACGGGGCGGCAAGACUGGACGACACCAAUGAAGAAAACAGCUCACUGCAAGGACUCAGAUACGACUGCAAGAUGCCCCUGUUUACCUGGGACAAGGGCAGACACGGACCCUCCGAAUUCCCAUUCCUCAACUCACUUCAGUCCCCAGUGGUCAUUCGGAACAUGACGCUCAGUAACCAACCUUCCGUUCAGCUUCUCUCCCUCCUCCAGGCAUAGACCUUUGGCCCAGCCUCACCCAGAGCCAGCAGGAGCCCCUCCUGAGCACACGCAGGCCAGCAGGAGCCCCUCCUGAUGUCCUCUCCUAGGAAGCCACCCUCCCAGCCCAUCUCCCACCCCCGGUUCUUUCUAGCUGUGUUUACCCCUCUCUGUAAAGAAAGCCCUUUUUGCCUAACCCUUGAGAAGCUUGCAGACCUUCAAGUCAGAGCUUUCUGCUGUUGCUAGAGUCCCCUCGCCCUGCAGUAUCCUCGAGAAUAAAAUCUUUUCUA